GAAUUCGAUUAGAGUUUGAUCCUGGCUCAGAUUGAUUGCUGGCGGCAGGCUUAACACAUGCAAGUCGAGCGGUAGCACAGGGGAGCUUGCUCCCCGGGUGACGAGCGGCGGACGGGUGAGUAAUGUCUGGGAAACUGCCUGAUGGAGGGGGAUAACUACUGGAAACGGUAUCUAAUACCGCAUAUCGUCGAAAGACCAAAGAGGUGGACCUUCGCGCUUCUUGCCAUCAGAUGUGCCCAGAUGGUAUUAGCUAGUAGGUGGGGCAACGGAUCACAUAAGCUACAAUCUCUAUCUGGUGAGAAAGAAUCACCCUGCAACCUGGAACUGACACACAGUCCUUACUCAUACAGGAGGGAGUAAUAUUGAAUAUUGCACAAAGGCCGGAUUCAUGAUUCUAUCGUGUCUUAAGAGAGACAUAAGUCUUUGUAUCGCUUAGCACUUUCAUAGAGGAUCCAUGUGAUGAAACUUUAUAUUUUUGUAACAUUGACCUUACAAUAAGAUAAAAGCACAAUUCUUAUUUCCAUGAUCUCGCAGCUCAUAAUUAAUAAUGGAGGAGUGUAAGUGCAUAAUUUACAUAUUCCUUAGAAGAUAAAGCAAUACAGAAUCGUCUAUUUUGCUUAAUUUUAAAUUGUCAUAUCUCUUUGUUAUCAAUCUUUAUCAAUCUCCUUUAUAAAUUUUGUCAUUAUUUUUCAGUACUGAUAUAAUGACC
rnacentral:rRNA from 1 species